rnacentral:tRNA from 1 species
GGGGUUGUGGCUCAGCGGUAGAGUGCUCGCCUUGCAUGUGCGAGACCCUGGGUUCAAUCCUCAGUACCACA